rnacentral:rRNA from 1 species
GACGAACGCUGGCGGCGUGCCUAACACAUGCAAGUCGAACGGAAAGGCCCUGCUUUUGUGCGGUGCCCGAGGGCCGAACGCGUGAGUAUGACGUGUGUAUCCUGCCCUUAUCUUUCGGGUAACUUCACGUAACGGGAGCUACUAUCGGAUAGGAUAUCAUGCACCACGGUGAGCGUUGGAAAGUUGCGGCUGUUGGGGCUGGACUCGCCGCUUAUGAGCUUGUUGGUGGGGUAGGGGCUUGCCAAGCCUUGGACGGGUCGGCGGCCUGGGAGGGUGGCCGGCGACAAUGGGACUGAGGUAGGGCCCAGACUCCUACGGGAGGCAGCGGUGGGGAAUCUUGCACAAUGGCCGGAAGCCUGAUGCAGAGACGCCGCGUGCGGAAUGACGGCCUUCGGGUUGUAAACCGCUUUCGCCUGUGACGAAGCGUGAGUGACGGUAAUGGGUAAAGAAGCAACGGCUAACUACGUG